GGAGAGGUCGCAUAGCGGACUAGUGCGCAUCUUUGGAGAAGAUGUGUAACCGCAAGGUUACCGAGGGUUCGAAUCCCUCCCUCUCCG
rnacentral:tRNA from 1 species